GAUGAACGCUGGCGGCGUGCUUAACACAUGCCAGUCGAACGAGAAGUGGAGACGGAAACCUUCGGGCGGAAGACUUUACUUCGAGUGGCGGACGGGUGAGUAACGCGUGGGUAACCUGCCUCAUACAGGGGGAUAACAGUUGGAAACGACUGUUAAUACCGCAUAAGACCACAGCACCGCAUGGUGCGGGGGUAAAAACUCCGGUGGUAUGAGAUGGACCCGCGUUCGAUUAGCCAGUUGGCGGGGUAACGGCCCACCAAAGCGACGAUCGAUAGCCGAUCUGAGAGGAUGACCGGCCACAUUGGGACUGAGACACGGCCCAAACUCCUACGGGAGGCAGCAGUGGGGAAUAUUGCACAAUGGGGGAAACCCUGAUGCAGCGACGCCGCUUGAGUGAAGAAGUAUUUCGGUAUGUAAAGCUCUAUCAGCAGGGAAGAAAAUGACAGUACCUGAGUAAGAAGCCCCGGCUAACUACGUG
rnacentral:rRNA from 1 species